GUGGCUGAUCUUUAAAUAGCCCACUCUUUGUGGCAGUCCUUGCUUACGGCUAUACCACCCUGUCUGCGCCCCUGUGAGAGUAACCAAGUUGGUACGAUCCAGGGAGUGAGAGGUGGCAGUAGGGAGAGACAGGCUCUCCCAAUUGUUUCAUUUUAUUUGGUUUCUGAUUUGAUUUAAUUAUUUGUUAAUAGUACAGUUUAUUUUUGUUUAUUUCCUGAAUAAUUCAGGGGCCCUGAGCAGGGUUAUCUGCUUGGGGUCCUGAGUGGAUUGGUGCUUUGGAAAAGCUCAACAUGGAUGUACGUAAAACAACGGAUUUGGAUACAAUGAAGGACGAACAAACUAACAAAUAUCAACAAAAGGACAACGGACAAAGAGGAAGAACAUAAGGAUCAGUGGAAACAACUGAAGGAAAAAAGAGGACUGAUGAAAGAAAGAACAAUGAAAUACAAAGAAAAUAUACAAAGGAGCAACAGUGAUUGUGAAUAUGGCUGAGAUCAAAGAUGGGAAAGUGGAGGAUGUGAUAAAAGCAGUGAUUAACAAAGUUGGACUGAGUAAGGUGCUGGCAGUGAGACCAAGGAUUAACAAGGAAUAUGAGAUUACAUUAACUGAUGAAGAAGCCUGUGAGGAGUUAAUGAAUGGACUGAUGAUCAAGGAUGUGAUGACAGAGGUGAGAAACUUACAAACAAAAGAAUGUGUGGUUUCAUUUAUGCACUUACCAGUGUACAUAACGGAUGAGGAGAUACGAGACCAGUUGAGAGUGUGGGGAGUAACAACAAUAUCUGCAGUGAAAAGAAGAUAUUAUCCAGGAACAACAAUCACAGAUGGAACACGUUUUGUAAGAGUUAAGUUCCCGAAAUAAAUUGUUUCACUGCCCUACAGCACAAAAUUUGAAACAGCUGAAGGAAUGCAGUAUUUCAGGAUCAUACACGAUCGUCAGGUGAAAACCUGUCGAUUAUGUAUGAAUCCUGGACAUAUAUUAAUGGAUUGUCCUGGUUUUAAAUGUCCCAAAUGUGGAGAAAAAGGUCAUUUUAUAAGAGAUUGUGAUGCAGUCUGUUGUCCAGAUUGUAAAGAAGUAAUGGGCAGAUGUGAGUGCUGGAUGGAAGGGGAGAAUGAGGAGGAAAAUGACAUUAUACAGGAGGGAGGAGAAAAAGAAGUACAUGAGGAGGAAAGGGGUCAAGAAGACUAACAAAAUCCAGAGACAAGAGAGGAAGUGGAAGGCUUGUGACAAGAAACAGAAAAUAGAAUACAAGAACAACAAGAAGUGGAGGAGGAGAAAUCGGAUAAAACAGAGAUAGAAAAGAAGGAGAGGGGGAAAAGAGUGGGAAAAAGUGACAAUGACCAGAAGAAGACCCCUAAGGGUAAGCCCAAAUCUUGACAUGGCAAAA